AGGAGGCGAAAUCCUGAGAUGCAAAGGCCCAAAAUCCAAGCUCGGAUCUGGUAGGCAAGAAUUAAGUUAGUUGGUGAUGCCGCCACCACCAGCCUACCACCACCUCCUCCUCCUCCUCCUCCUUCUGCUUCGCCUCCAUGGAGCCAUUGCAUCCGCCACCGGCUUCACCUGCACCAAGCCGAGCACAUGCCAGUCCGCCGUGAUUGGCUACGUUGUCCCCAACACCAUCACCUACAAGGAACUCAUUUCCCAAUUCAGCCCCACAACCCUCCACGACGUCGUCGCCGCCAACCAACUUCCGUUCAACACCGCAACCAAGCAAGUCAUUCCCCCCAAAACAACUUUAACCAUCCCCUUUAGGUGCCGCUGCACAGGGAAUGGCAUCGGCCAAUCUGGCCUCUACAUCGCCCAAAACAAGUUGGACGACGGCUUGGCAACCUACCAGCCGGAGAUCGUCUCUUCCAAGAGCAUAGCAGAUAAUGCUGCCAACUGGAAGGGGUGGAUUCCGCUGCCCUGCAGCUGCGACGGCGCUGACGUGACGCAUUUUCCUUACAUCGUCCGCAGCGGUGACAGCGCCUUGGCAAUCGCGGCCAAGUACGGUGUGCUUCUGUCUGUGCUACUGGAGAUCAAUAAUAUCACAAACCACGCUAGCCUUUACCAAGGGCAGGUUCUUGAUAUCCCGCUCCAAGGAAAGGUCGGAGAAGAGCUAUCCUCUAUGGGCAGAUGGUCAAGGGUAUAUUAUAUCUCAGGAUAUAGGAAAAGAAGAUUGGGCUGGUUCAAUUCCGCUGCUGCAGAACAAUCGGCGCAUGCGGCAGCAGAAGCGGUGGCUGCGACAAAAGAAGCAGCUGAGAAUUCCCAUUACUCACCUGAAGCUGCUGACACAGUUGUCAAAAGGGUCCUCGUUUUACUCCUCAUCAUAAUCAUCCUUUCGUUGUUGUAUUUUACAUUUUAUUACUGGAAAAGUGCAUGCGAGUCGCUCUCGUCGCGUACGAAUGGCGUUAUUCAGUUCUAUUACAGCGAUUUGGCUCGCGCAACACACAGAUUCUCCAAGGAAAGCAAGAUUGGAGAGGGUCAGUAUGGCACAGUAUAUAAGGCGACCAUAAAGGGCCAUGAAAUGGCUGUGAAGAAAUUGAAGGCCGAGGGUGAGACCAAGGAGUUGCACCGUGAGCUCCAGACAAUUAGUAAUACGAAGCACACGAAUCUAGUCAGUCUGAAAGGUUGGUGUGGCAGACUAAGAUUGAUUGAUGGCAAGAGUUGUUGGAAAAGGCAGAUAAAGGUUGAACUCUUGCUUGUAUUUGAGUGGAUACCUAAUGGCAACCUGGCAGACCACCUACACAACAGGGAGCAAGUUCUAUCAUGGGAGAAAAGGUACAAAAUAGUGAAAGGCAUAGGGUCGGCACUUCGUUAUCUUCAUCACGAGUGCAAGCCAUCCAUCUUGCAUAGAGAUAUCAAACCAGAUAAUAUACUCCUAGAUUAUCAUUUCAAUGCCAAGCUUGCUGACUUCGGGCUAUCGAUGAUCACCGACCAAAAUGGAGCAACAGUGUUCACAAUUGCUAUUGGGCCGAGGAGAUACAUGGAUCCACAGUUAAUGAAGGAGGGCGAAUUUCGUUUCAACCACAAAUCGGAUAUUUACAGCUUCGGAAUCGUGCUACUAGAGAUUGCAUGUACCGGAAAAUCAAGGGAGAAUAUCUUGCACAUACUUGGUGGUGGCAGUGGACAACACGUUCAGGUGGAUGGUCUUGCUGAUCACAGGUUAAGUAUCUUCGACCGUACAGAGAUGGCGCGCGUGGUUGUCCUUGGCCUCCAGUGUUCUCACCCAGAUGAGAGACAGCGACCUUCCAUGUAUAUGGCAAUGAGAUUCCUCGAGGAAGGCAUAGAGUUGCCAAUUGCCAGCCACAACAGGAGAGAGCGGCUAUAAUCGUCUGGCUGAACCCGGUCUCUAGCUUGUGGGAUGGCACGAGCACAAACCGGAUUGUCGCGCCAAGGACACCCGCGAGCCACAAAUAAUUGGUCGCCAAGAAGAAGUAGGGUGGUUGGUAGAAAAUCUAGGAGUACGUGCAUGCAUGAGACGGAAGACUGAUGGUCAAGAAAGAAUGACAAAGUUGCAUGUGUUACCAAUAGUUCGCUUAGGGAUGUCAGAAAGAUAACAAUGGUCCAACAAAUCUGUAAAUAAUUUGCAUGUGUUACCAAUAGUUGAAUGGGAAGGAACAUUCUGAGUUAAUAA